rnacentral:rRNA from 1 species
UACGUAGGGUGCAAGCGUUGUCCGGAAUUAUUGGGCGUAAAGAGCUCGUAGGCGGUCUGUCGCGUCGGCUGUGAAAUCCCGAGGCUCAACCUCGGGUCUGCAGUCGAUACGGGCAAACUAGAGUAUUGCAGGGGAGACUGGAAUUCCUGGUGUAGCGGUGAAAUGCGCAGAUAUCAGGAAGAACACCCGUGGCGAAGGCGGCUCUCUGGGACGGUACUGACGCUGAGACGCGAAAGCGUGGGGAGCAAACAGG